rnacentral:misc_RNA from 1 species
GGGCAAACCAGUGUAGUAAACGACCACCGCUACUCUCCUUCUGGGAAAAUUCUUCGGGCACCAUAUAUGAACUUCUUUGAACAUUUCCUAGCAACUUCCAAUAACUUGCCUCUUUCCAUCACUUCACUUUAAAGCUCCAAUGGAUAAACACAUGAGAUUCUUACCUCCACUGAUUAGUUAUAAUCCUUAGAACCACACAGAGAUAUGGAGCACGAAGCUUUCACGAUUGUCACUAUUGUCAAGGAGGAAGAGAUCAAUCCGAUAAGCAACUUCAAAAGAAAGGGGAAAUCUUUAGCAAGUGAUGCAAGUUCCAGCCUAAUUCAAGAAGAUGGGGAAAUUCCUGUUCCAUCAAGUUCAACAUUGUCUAGCCUAAGUCAAGACGAGCAGCAAGUUCCUGCACCAACUGAGAUCCAAAGCCAAGAGGAACCUGAACAAGAUGAAGCUGCACUAAGAAACUCAGUGACUCUUAUUGAGCGUCGUCUUCAGGAAAAGCGUCAAGCAGUAAUGACACGAGGAAAAGGCAGGAAUUCAUCUGUAUGCAUCUUCAGGUUUCCUCCUAGUCUUGGAGAAAUCAAUCCAAAUGCCUCUCAGCCUGAGCUUGUAUCUAUAGGCCCUUAUCACGGGCAAGGAUCAUUUACUUGAGUUUGAAGAUCACAAGUGGCUCUUCCUUGAGAAAUUCCUUUCUAGAUCAAGCGCUUCUGGAAGGGGUUUGAGGCACUAUUUAAGUAGAUUGAGAAAAGAGGAAGUGGAUAUUAUAAAUUACUACUCGGACGUUAUUCCGAUGUCAAGUGAUGACUUCGUUGAAAUGAUACUGCUUGAUGGUUGCUUUAUCAUUGAACUUUUAAUCCAUCUUAACCAGGGUGGAGACAUUAUCGAUGACGAUGAUCCAAUCUUCACAAGGCCCUGGUUGAUCCCAAUUCUCAUUAGAGACCUCCUUAAGCUUGAGAACCAACUCCCCUUUUUUGUUCUUGACUUCUUGUAUCAAAUAUCUGGAAUUGGGAAUGAUAUGGACAAAAAGCUGGGUCCUUUACCCAUACUUGCCUUGAGAACCUUUGAUCAAGCCUCUCCAAGGCGUCUGGGAAAUCCUAACCAAUUCUUUCUCUACAAAGGGGAGCAUUUGCUUCACUUAGUUUAUUCAAGCUUAGUUUCCUCAAUCUUGGUAACUCACUGUCAUCAGUUGGAUGAAUAUUGCCCAUCAGAUCAGUCAAUACAAUGUGUCACACAGCUUAGACCAUCAGGAGCGAAGUUCAAGUCAACAAAGAGAGACAGCUUCUUGGAUAUAAAUUUCAAAAACCAAGUGCUAGAAAUUCCAUCCAUUACAGUCAAUGACUUCACAAGCACCCUCCUCAUAAACUGUGUAGCCUUGGAACAAUGCCAGGAGAAGAGAUCCAAAUACUUCACAGAUUAUGUCUCUUUCAUGAGUUGUCUCAUCAGCCAACCAAGAGAUGUAGCACUCCUUUGCUCCGAUGGAAUCGUCACGAGGUUUUCCAAAGAUGACAGAUAUGUUGUUGAUCUUUUCACUAAUCUUGGGAAGAACACUGACUUCAACAUUCGAGAUAGUUAUCUUUCCAAGCAAUUCAGAGAAGUUGAAUCCUAUUACAGCAGCAACUGGGCUACCAUGAGACGAACUUACUUUAGUAGUCCAUGGUCAUUUAUCUCAUUGUCUUCUGCCAUCCUCCUCUUAGUUUUGUUAUUAUGUUAAUUAUGUUAUUAAUGUAGCAGUGGCUUAGCUCUUUUUUUGGAAGAGGGAGGGUUUGUUUGGGUAUAAUGGAAAAUAAUCCAUUGGAGAAUAUCAUACAAG